UCUAGAUGGCCGUAAAACCAUGUGCUUC
rnacentral:piRNA from 1 species